rnacentral:rRNA from 1 species
GGUCCAGCCUGCCCGGUGAUUUAAUUUAACGGCCGCGGUACCCUAACCGCGCGAAGGUAGCAUAAUCACUUGUUCUUUAAAUGAGGACUAGUAUCAACGGCAUCACGAGGGUUCUACUGUCUCCUUUUUCUAAUCUGUUAAACUAAUCUCCCCGUGAAGAAGCGGGGAUAAACUUAUAAGACGAGAAGACCCCAUGGAGCUUUAAACUUAACCACACCCCUCCUUUUUUAUACCUUAUUACUAGAGGAACCCUGUAUAUUAAGUUUUAGGUUGGGGUGACCGCGGAGUAAAGCACAACCUCCACGACGAAUAAGACUAAACCUUUAAUCUGAGAACCACACCUCCAAGAAUUAGAAUACUAACAUUAAAUGAUCCGAUAAUCGAUCAACGGACCUAGUUACCCUGGGGAUAACAGCGCAAUCCAUUUCAAGAGCCCCUAUCGACAAAUGGGUUUACGACCUCGAUGUUGGAUCAGGAUAUCCUAGUGGUGCAGCAGCUACUAAGGGUUCGUUUGUUCAACGAUUAAAAUCCUACGUGAUCUGAGU